UACGUAGGGGGCUAGCGUUGUCCGGAAUUAUUGGGCGUAAAGAGCUCGUAGGCGGUUUGUCGCGUCUGCUGUGAAAAUCCAGGGCUUAACCCUGGACCUGCAGUGGGUACGGGCAGACUAGAGUGCGGUAGGGGAGAUCGGAAUUCCUGGUGUAGCGGUGAAAUGCGCAGAUAUCAGGAGGAACACCGGUGGCGAAGGCGGAUCUCUGGGCCGUAACUGACGCUGAGGAGCGAAAGCAUGGGGAGCGAACAGG
rnacentral:rRNA from 1 species